AUACGGAGGGUGCAAACGUUGUUCGGAAUUACUGGGCGUAAAGCGCGCGUAGGUGGUCUGUUAUGUCAGAUGAGAAAGUCCACGGCUCAACCGUGGAAGUGCAUUUGAAACUGGCAGACUUGAGUACUGGAGGGGGUAGUGGAAUUCCCGGUGUAGAGGUGAAAUUCGUAGAUAUCGGGAGGAAUACCGGUGGCGAAGGCGACUACCUGGCCAGAUACUGACACUGAGGUGCGAAAGCGUGGGGAGCGAACAGGAUUAGAAACCCCAGUAGUCC
rnacentral:rRNA from 1 species